AGCUCAGUUGGAAGAGCGUGAGACUCUUGAUCUCAAGGUCACAGGUUUGAGCCUGA
rnacentral:tRNA from 1 species